rnacentral:rRNA from 1 species
AUGGAGUACCGGCCCUUGGUCUCCUCCCUCAACAUCCGCACCACCCCGGUCUCCCUUGACGAGCUCUUCGCUAUGUUGAGUAACUUCAACCAGCGGGUGGCCCUAUACCAGGGGGCAGGCGGCUUCAAAUCUUCUGCCAACGUCGCGACCCGUGGCCGUGGCGGCUACUCCUCUCGCCACCGUGGUCCUCCUCACUCCAAGGUUAGGCCUGGCGGUGGCGGUGGCGGCAACACCAAUGGCUCCAACUCCCGCAGCAGCCGCCCCUCCGCCGCAGUGGGAACAGCAAAUCUCGCCCGGAUGUCGUGCGUUGCCAGAUCUGUGGCAAGCUCGGGCACUCGGCAAAAGACUGCUGGUACCGUUUUGAAGAAGAUGAGGCGUCGUCUGAAGAUGAGGAAAAGGUUGCUGCCGCUGCUGAUGGUGCCUACGGCAUCGACACGAACUGGUACCUUGACAGCGGUGCAACCAACCAUCUCACGGGUGAACUUGAGAAAGUAA